rnacentral:rRNA from 1 species
GAUGAACGCUGGCGGCGUGCCUAAUACAUGCCAGUCGAGCGAACAGACGAGGAGCUUGCACCUCUGACGUUAGCGGCGGACGGGUGAGUAACACGUGGAUAACCUACCUCUAAGACUGGGAUAACUUCGGGAAACCGUAGCUAAUACCGGAUAAUAUAUUAAACCGCAUGGUUCAAUAGUGAAAGACGGUUUUGCUUUCACUUAUAGAUGGAUCCCGGCGGAAUUAGCUAGUUGGUAAGGUAACGGCUUACCAAGGCAACGAUGCGUAGCCGACCUGAGAGGUGGAUCGGCAACACGGGAACGGGGAAAGGGUCCAGACCCCUACGGGAGGAAGCAGUAGGGAAUCUCGGGAAAGGGGCGAAAGCCGGACGGAGCAACGCCGCUUGGGGGAGGAAGGUCUCCGGAUCUUAAAACUCUGUGAUUAGGGAAGAAGAAAGGGGUAAGUAACUAUGCACGUCUUGACGGUACCUAAUCAGAAAGCCACGGCUAACUACGUG